rnacentral:rRNA from 2 species
UGGGGAAUAUUGGGCAAUGGGGGAAACCCUGACCCAGCAACGCCGCGUGAGGGAAGAAGGUUUUCGGAUUGUAAACCUCUGUCCUUGGUGAAGAAAGAGAUGACGGUAGCCAAGGAGGAAGCCCCGGCUAACUACGUGCCAGCAGCCGCGGUAAUACGUAGGGGGCGAGCGUUGUCCGGAAUGACUGGGCGUAAAGGGCGUGUAGGCGGCCGAUUAAGUCCGGAGUGAAAGUCCUGCUUUCAAGGUGGGAAUUGCUUUGGAAUCUGGUUGGCUUGAGUGCGGAAGAGGUAAGUGGAAUUCCCAGUGUAGCGGUGAAAUGCGUAGAUAUCGGGAGGAACACCAGUGGCGAAGGCGGGUAACUGGACUGCAACUGACGCUGAGGCGCGAAAGUGUGGGGAGCAAACAGG